rnacentral:rRNA from 1 species
UCCAUGCAAGUCGAACGGCAGCACGGAGAGCUUGCUCUCUGGUGGCGAGUGGCGAACGGGUGAGUAAUAUAUCGGAACGUGUCCAAUAAUGGGGGAUAACGAGUCGAAAGAUUCGCUAAUACCGCAUACGCCCUACGGGGGAAAGCAGGGGAUCGUAAGACCUUGCGUUAAUGGAGCGGCCGAUAUCUGAUUAGCUUGUUGGUGAGGUAAAGGCUCACCAAGGCGACGAUCAGUAGCUGGUUUGAGAGAACGACCAGCCACACUGGAACUGAGACACGGUCCAGACUCCUACGGGAGGCAGCAGUGGGGAAUUUUGGACAAUGGGGGCAACCCUGAUCCAGCCAUUCCGCGUGAGUGAAGAAGGCCUUCGGGUUGUAAAGCUCUUUCGCAAGGGAAGAAAACUUAUGAUCGAAUAAAUCAUGAGGUUGACGGUACCUUGAUAAGAAGCACCGGCUAACUACGUGCCAGCAGCCGCGGUAAUACGUAGGGUGCGAGCGUUAAUCGGAAUUACUGGGCGUAAAGCGUGCGCAGGCGGUUUUGUAAGUCGGAUGUGAAAUCCCCGGGCUCAACCUGGGAACUGCGUUCGAAACUGCAAGGCUAGAGUGUGUCAGAGGGGGGUAGAAUUCCACGUGUUAGCAGCGAAAUGCGUA